AUAUUAGAAUGUAUUAUGUAUUUCAUGCAAAGUGAAAAAAGAAAAUGAGGCUUGCUCCCGGCCUCCGCUGAAAGAAAUCAAAACAAACUAAAAAACUAAAUAACAAAGUGGUCUGUUACAACAGUGUCGAACAGACGUUUAUCACAGAUCGAGUGCUUAAAGAGCUUUUUUUGUAUAGUAAAAUAACAUUAUCACCGAUAAAUGUAUCGAAUAAUACUGAUCGAGUGCUCAGUGAGCUUAUAUAUGGAAACAAUUAUAUGGAACCUUAUGUGCCAGAUGCAAUUUUUUGUAAAAUUGUGGCAAGUUAUGGUCAAGAAGGCUUUCAAGCGUUUCGUUCAAGAUUCCUACAGAUGAUAGAUAGUUUUUAUGCGUGGCAAGUUUUUCGACAAAUGUUAAUUGUUGGCGUUGGGUUUAUUCACAAAGAGGAACAACAUUUGACGCAGUAUAAAUGACUUCCAAUUCUUUGGCCACUGUUGGGGAAAUAGAGAACCAGAUCGGAAAUCCAUAGAGCAAAAUAGGACGGAUUGGAACCUUGUAGAGGAGAAGUUUCGUUUUUUUGCAUGAUUAAACGGGCAUGGAAAUUAAAUUUCAUUAAGUUGUUGAAUUGGAC